rnacentral:piRNA from 1 species
UGCACAUCUAUGCUUAUUGAAUGGCCA